AUCUUAACGUGCCACCUGCCGUAAUAUCUCAAGCUCAUGGAAACAAAUUGGACUUUGGUUAUUGACACCUGCCUACGUGGCCCAUGAACACUAGCCAUGACAACCAAUACGGGCAACGCACAGCAGCACGUGACAUGUUCGUUGCUGGGCGAUGGCAAUGUGCACGUACGACGGAUCAUUUUUUUAUUAUCGGUGGGCUUUAUCAAUCACAUUUUACUGCACGUGAACCACAUCGUCUUAAAAUGUCAGAAGGCAUGUCUUUUAAAGGCAACGUAUUUAUUUUUUGUAUCAAUACGGUUAUGUAUGCAAAUACAAUUAUAUUUAUCAAUUUCU